AUAUCUUUUUUAUUCCAUUUCCCGCUGACAAUGAGUUUCCUUUAAAUCUUAGUAAAAAAAAAAUUAAAGUUUUCCUUUCAUUGACUCUUGAAAAUAGAAUCUAGAUUUUAGAUUGUUGUUUUCCCAUUGGAGGAAAAUUACAGGUUUUCUGAAGUUAAUAAUAUUUUUUCCUAUGAGACUUGAGUUCUUGAGUCAGGGGAUCUUCUUUUGUCAUGGUUUGUCUACUACUUUUUAUAGCCGAGGAUUCGCAUGCUUGGCUAUUUGAAUCGGUCGUUUUCGAUGUAUAAGUUUGACUGGACGAGUAGUAUAUUUUUACUUUUUAUACGAGACAAUGUGUCAGCUAGUUCCAAGGGUGUUUGAACGAAGGUACCAUUUGAAAAGGAGUGCUGACCCGAUGUAUGUUAUUAUAUGGACAUCUCGACCUCUCUGGACUACAUGCAGAUGAAUAAAAAAGCGCGCCGGCAACAAGACACAGCUUAUUUUUAAUUGACUAGUCAUUUUUUUCAGUAGUGAAAGACAUUAUACAUAUAGCUUCAGGAUUCCGAUCGUAACUGUUAAGUUUAAGGUGAUUGGAUGGAUGUGCUAUGCCCUUGGAUGUUGUCAUGGUUAUGACGGCACCCCCAAGGAUCUUAAGAUCCUAUACCAUAGUUUUCCUGGUUUCAAUAUGCCUCCCAAUCUGGAACUUAAAUCCAAAUAGGAGAUGACUGUUCCAAGACAGAAAGUGGAUCUCAAAGUGAAUUCAAAAAUAUAAACAAUUACUAAGAAUUCAAGACUGUGCAGCUUCGACUUCGUGAAAUCGGAUUAUAUUACCCAUUCCGUAGACAAAAGAGAGAAGAGUGGAAUUCAACUUAAUCAGCAACUGGAACUAAGAUAGGAUUCUCAUGGGCACAAGCUCAAAAACAGGUUCUAGCUUUGGGCAAAAGGCUAAGAGACUCAAAAGGGAUGCUGUGCUUUCAGUGUGGCCAGACCUUCUGCUUUCUACCUCUCUUCUCCUGUGCCUCAUCCUAGACCAACUCGAGCAUCCACUAGUGGCAUACGACUCCAGCUCGAAAACGAGUGUCAGGAAGCCUGGGAGCUCAAAAUGUUUAGAAGAAUAGGCACUAACCCUUAACGAGCUUUAUGAUAAGUUGUAACUUGAAACAUUACCUUCGGGAUUUAUACUAUUAAAUCCCCGAAAUUGACCCAUGUUAAGAUGGAAGCGACUGAAGAUAAGGGCCUUGAUAUUAAGGCUAGCCUCGAAAUCCAAGAAGACUUUGCCUUGUUUUUGAUUUUAAAUUCCUUGUUUCUUUUGUUGGAUCUUCUUUACCUUAAUUUUAUACUUGUUGAGCAAUUUAUGUUUAUAAAGAUACUUUUCAUAAU
rnacentral:lncRNA from 1 species